rnacentral:tRNA from 1 species
CAGGAAAUAGUUUAAUUAAAAAUUUUAGUUUUGGAGAUUAAAGAUAAAUGGUUUAUUUUUUCCUGA